GAUGAACGCUGGCGGCGUGCCUAAUACAUGCAAGUCGAGCGAACGGACGAGAAGCUUGCUUCUCUGAUGUUAGCGGCGGACGGGUGAGUAACACGUGGAUAACCUACCUAUAAGACUGGGAUAACUUCGGGAAACCGGAGCUAAUACCGGAUAAUAUUUUGAACCGCAUGGUUCAAAAGUGAAAGACGGUCUUGCUGUCACUUAUAGAUGGAUCCGCGCUGCAUUAGCUAGUUGGUAAGGUAACGGCUUACCAAGGCAACGAUGCAUAGCCGACCUGAGAGGGUGAUCGGCCACCCGGGAACGGAAACACGGUCCAGACUCCUACGGGAGGCAGCAGUAGGGAAUCUUCCGCAAUGGGCGAAAGCCUGACGGAGCAACGCCGCGUGAGUGAUGAAGGUCUUCGGAUCGUAAAACUCUGUUAUUAGGGAAGAACAUAUGUGUAAGUAACUGUGCACAUCUUGACGGUAACUAAUCAGAAAGCCACGGCUAACUACGUG
rnacentral:rRNA from 1 species